AAGAAGGCUUUCGGGUUGUAAAGCACUUUCAGCGAGGAGGAAGGCUAAGUAGUUAAUACCUGCUUAGAUUGACGUUACUCGCAGAAGAAGCACCGGCUAACUCCGUGCCAGCAGCCGCGGUAAUACGGAGGGUGCAAGCGUUAAUCGGAAUUACUGGGCGUAAAGCGCGCGUAGGCGGCUUGUUAAGCUAGAUGUGAAAGCCCUGGGCUCAACCUGGGAACUGCAUUUAGAACUGACUCGCUAGAGUACAGUAGAGGGUGGUGGAAUUUCCAGUGUAGCGGUGAAAUGCGUAGAGAUUGGAAGGAACAUCAGUGGCGAA
rnacentral:rRNA from 1 species